GACGAACGCUGGCGGCGUGCCUAACACAUGCAAGUCGAGCGGAGUCGAUCGACGGAAGCCUUCGGGCGGAAGAUGGUUGACUUAGCGGCGGAUGGGUGAGUAACGCGUGGGCAACCUGCCUCGAAGACCGGGAUAACAGACCGAAAGGGCUGCUAAUACCGGAUGUGGUCAAGGAUCCGCAUGGAUCUUUGAUUAAAGGGGAAACCCGUUUCGAGAUGGGCCCGCGUCCUAUCAGCUAGUUGGUGAGGUAAAAGCUCACCAAGGCGACGACGGGUAGCCGGCCUGAGAGGGUGACCGGCCACACUGGAACUGAGACACGGUCCAGACUCCUACGGGGGGCAGCAGUGGGGAAUCUUCCACAAUGGGCGAAAGCCUGAUGGAGCGACGCCGCGUGAGCGAAGAAGGCCUUCGGGUUGUAAAGCUCUGUCUGGAGGGACGAAGGAAGUGACGGUACCUCCGGAGGAAGCCACGGCUAACUACGUG
rnacentral:rRNA from 1 species